rnacentral:tRNA from 1 species
GUCCCCGAGGCUGAUUGGAUAAGCACCAGACUUCUAAUCUGACAUUGGCGGGUUCGAUUCCUGCCGGGGACG